rnacentral:lncRNA from 1 species
AAUUAUCUAUCCAUAUUCUAGAAAAUAUUUGUAUUUUAAUAGAUAAGAAAAUAGUUUGCAGUCAGAUGUUUCCAUUCUUGAAAGAAAAUAGAUAAUACAAAUCAUAACAAUGUUAAGAAUAUUAAAAAAAAGAGUAAAAGGUAUGAACAUUGUCGUUUCCAUAUAGACAAGUAAGCACAGAUUGUGGGCAUCCUUCUAACUCUUGGGAAGCUAAAUUGAGAGUGCCAUUUCUUUCUUUUUCUUUGCCUCUUUUUAGAGAACUUCCAGUUGUAUAGUGUGUAGCAUGUGGGGAUGCAUCAAAUCUUUGAUUUUUAAGAUAUUCUAAAUAUGGGAAAUUUCUGACCUAGGGAAACAUGUAGUUUAAGUAAGUAAAAAGAAAAGUUCAGGAAAAUUUUUCUCUUAUAAUCCUUCAUUUGGCAC